CCGCUAUCGGGGUAGGGCUAAGCCAUGCGAGUCGCGCGCCCGGGGGCGCCCGGGAGCGGCGCACGGCUCAGUAACACGUGCCCAACCUACCCUCGGGAGGGGGACACCCCCGGGAAACUGGGGCCAAUCCCCCAUAGGGGAAGGGCGCUGGAAGGCCCCUUCCCCGAAACGGACGGCGGCCGAUCCGUCGCCGUCCGCCCGAGGAUGGGGGCACGGCCCAUCAGGUAGUUGGCGGGUUAAAGGCCCGCCAAGCCGAAGACGGGUAGGGGCGGUGAGAGCCGUGAGCCCCGAGAUCGGCACUGAGACAAGGGCCGAGGCCCUACGGGGUGCAGCAGGCGCGAAUACUCCGCAAUGCGGGCAACCGCGACGGGGCUACCCCGAGUGCCGGGCGAAUAGCCCGGCUUUUGCCCGGUCUAAAACGCCGGGAGAAUAAGCGGGGGGCAAGUCUGGUGUCAGCCGCCUCGGUAAUACCAGCUCCGCGAGUGGUCGGGGUGUUUACUGGGCUUAAAGCGCCCGUAGCCGGCCCGGCAAGUCGCUCCUGAAAUCCCAGGGCUCAACCCUGGGGCGGGGGGCGAUACUGCCGGGCUAGGGGGCGGAAGAGGCCGCCGGUACUCCGGGGGUAGGGGCGAAAUCCGUUAAUCCCCGGAGGACCACCAGUGGCGAAAGCGGGCGGCCAGAACGCGCCCGACGGUGAGGGGCGAAAGCCGGGGGAGCAAAGGGGAUUAGAUACCCCUGUAGUCCCGGCCGUAAACGAUGCGGGCUAGCUGUCGGCUGGGCUUAGGGCCCGGCCGGUGGCGAAGGGAAACCGUUAAGCCCGCCGCCUGGGGAGUACGGCCGCAAGGCUGAAACUUAAAGGAAUUGGCGGGGGGGCACCACAAGGGGUGAAGCUUGCGGCUUAAUUGGAGUCAACGCCGGAAACCUCACCCGGGGCGACAGCAGGAUGAAGGCCAGGCUAACGACCUUGCCGGACGAGCUGAGAGGAGGUGCAUGGCCGUCGUCAGCUCGUGCCGUGAGGUGUCCGGUUAAGUCCGGCAACGAGCGAGACCCCCGUCCCUAGUUGCUACCCGGUCCUUCGGGGCCGGGGGCACACUAGGGGGACUGCCGGCGUAAGCCGGAGGAAGGAGGGGGCCACGGCAGGUCAGUAUGCCCCGAAACCCCGGGGCUGCACGCGAGCUGCAAUGGCGGGGACAGCGGGAUCCGACCCCGAAAGGGGGAGGCAAUCCCGUAAACCCCGCCCCAGUAGGGAUCGAGGGCUGCAACUCGCCCUCGUGAACGUGGAAUCCCUAGUAACCGCGUGUCACCAACGCGCGGUGAAUACGUCCCUGCCCCUU
rnacentral:rRNA from 1 species